GAUUAGUGGCGAACGGGUGAGUAACACGUGAGUAACCUGCCCCUGACUCUGGGAUAAGCGUUGGAAACGACGUCUAAUACUGGAUAUGAUCACUGGCCGCAUGGUCUGGUGGUGGAAAGAUUUUUUGGUUGGGGAUGGACUCGCGGCCUAUCAGCUUGUUGGUGAGGUAAUGGCUCACCAAGGCGACGACGGGUAGCCGGCCUGAGAGGGUGACCGGCCACACUGGGACUGAGACACGGCCCAGACUCCUACGGGAGGCAGCAGUGGGGAAUAUUGCACAAUGGGCGAAAGCCUGAUGCAGCAACGCCGCGUGAGGGAUGACGGCCUUCGGGUUGUAAACCUCUUUUAGUAGGGAAGAAGCGAAAGUGACGGUACCUGCAGAAAAAGCACCGGCUAACUACGUGCCAGCAGCCGCGGUAAUACGUAGGGUGCAAGCGUUGUCCGGAAUUAUUGGGCGUAAAGAGCUCGUAGGCGGUUUGUCGCGUCUGCUGUGAAAUCCCGAGGCUCAACCUCGGGCUUGCAGUGGGUACGGGCAGACUAGAGUGCGGUAGGGGAGAUUGGAAUUCCUGGUGUAGCGGUGGAAUGCGCAGAUAUCAGGAGGAACACCGAUGGCGAAGGCAGAUCUCUGGGCCGUAACUGACGCUGAGGAGCGAAAGCAUGGGGAGCGAACAGGAUUAGAUACCCUGGUAGUCCAUGCCGUAAACGUUGGGCGCUAGAUGUAGGGACCUUUCCACGGUUUCUGUGUCGUAGCUAACGCAUUAAGCGCCCCGCCUGGGGAGUACGGCCGCAAGGCUAAAACUCAAAGGAAUUGACGGGGGCCCGCACAAGCGGCGGAGCAUGCGGAUUAAUUCGAUGCAACGCGAAGAACCUUACCAAGGCUUGACAUACACCGGAAACGGCCAGAGAUGGUCGCCCCCUUGUGGUCGGUGUACAGGUGGUGCAUGGUUGUCGUCAGCUCGUGUCGUGAGAUGUUGGGUUAAGUCCCGCAACGAGCGCAACCCUCGUUCUAUGUUGCCAGCGGGUUAUGCCGGGGACUCAUAGGAGACUGCCGGGGUCAACUCGGAGGAAGGUGGGGAUGACGUCAAAUCAUCAUGCCCCUUAUGUCUUGGGCUUCACGCAUGCUACAAUGGCCGGUACAAAGGGCUGCGAUACCGUAAGGUGGAGCGAAUCCCAAAAAGCCGGUCUCAGUUCGGAUUGAGGUCUGCAACUCGACCUCAUGAAGUCGGAGUCGCUAGUAAUCGCAGAUCAGCAACGCUGCGGUGAAUACGUUCCCGGGCCUUGUACACACCGCCCGUCAAGUCAUGAAAGUCGGUAACACCCGAAGCCGGUG
rnacentral:rRNA from 1 species